AGGAUGUGGGGAGAAGAGGAGACGGUGCUGAGGAGCCCGCCUGGGCUGAGGUAAUGGAGGGGGGGCGAGCGGUGAGUGAGCAGGGCCGUGCUGAGGGGACUGGAAGGGGCGGCAGCACAGAGUCGGUUUGGGAUUUUUGGGUAGGCGCUAAUACAACCAAUGUCUGUAGGUGUGGUGGGAUGGUUGAUGGAGGCUUUAUUUUUAAUUCUCCUGAUGAGGUUGUGAGAAAGUUGGAGAAAGCCUUGUUCAGAUGUCCCUAUUGGCUAACUCUCAGUGAUAGCGUGGAGGAAUGGAUGAUGUAAAAAAAACAAAAAAAACAAAACAAAACAAAAAAAACAAACAAACAAAAAAAAAAAAACAAAAAAAGUAUAUGAAAGAAGAAAAACAAGAAUGCUAAGAAAAAUGCAAUGUGUAGUAAUUUUUAUUUGCUAGAUAGCUGGUCUUUAGGAGCAGAUACUGGUAGACAGUAAUCUCCAUUUAAGCUAUAUGUUGUUCCUUUGGCAGCAGGUGCUAGGGGAAAAAAAAACACAACAUAAAUCAAAGGGAAUGAACAGUAUGAAUGAGUAAGAAGAGGAGAGUAGCAGCAAUGAUGAAUGAAGGAAAAAACAGCCUGGACAAAGGUACUGCCCUGUCAACAGGUAAGGACUUCAGCUGGUAGCAGCCAGUGCACAAGAAAGAAGACGUGUCAUGUGGAACUGUGACGCAACAAUGGGUGACAAGAAGACCACCAGAAGACUGAAGAGGGGAAACAGUAAAGGCACUGCCCUGUCAGCAGGGCUACAGUAAGCAGAACAGCGCUGGCACAUUAGGUGCCCGGGUUGGUUUUCUACUGUGUGACCACUCUGUAAGCAAGGGUGCAGGUGCUCAGGCUGCUUCUGUGUGCGCCCUACCCUACUUACCCGGGGUUGGAGCCGCAUGGCAGAAGUAGCUUGAGGAGCUCUGUGCCUCAGGAUGGUGAGAAAAGUUGAUUUAAGUUGGUGUUGGUAAGACAAAGCCAGGGAUCCAAACGCAGCUCCUCAAAACAACCACCCUAAUGAACACAAACUUGAAAGUCCUCCCCAUUUCUUUCUGGCACAGGAGGUGGAGCUUCGAACCCAUGUCUAAUGGCUUGUGCUUUGUUUGCAGCAGCCAGCGCAGAAGAAGGAGGAGGCGUCGUGUGGAACGGCGAGGCAAGAGGGAGCGGGAAGAGGGAGCGGCAGAUGGAAGACGGGCAAAGAGGAGGACACCCUGGGCAAAGGCUUCGCCCUGUUAGCGGGGCUGUAGGUAGAGGAGAGCAGUGCUGGCACGUGAGGUGCCUGGAUUGUUUUGUGCUGGGCGACCUCCCUGUAAGCAGGGCUCGGGUCUUUGCGAUUGUAAUCGGCCUUUUGCCUUGUUGCUCCUUUGGCUGCCUGGGGGGAGCGGCCCCCUGUAAUCAGGGGCACAGCUGCUCUCUCCGCACCCGGGAGGACUGUGGAGCUUGCCGGACCCCAGGGCCUCCCUGUAGUCAGGGCAGAGCCAAUUCCCCACCCCCUUAAUUUUAGCCGUCUGGCUCUUUGUCUAAACUAUUUGUCUAAACGUGAUGGGCUAUGGAAACUUAGUAUAUGACUGAUGCCUAUGAUAUGCCAACUAUUGCAUAAAAAGCAAUAUAAAAGCGAUAUAUAUAUAAUAUGACCUCUAUGAAUACUGUGAAAACAGAUUCUCUAAAGGAGAUGAAUGAUAAAUUACGAUGCAUGCUGUGUUUCAGCACCCCGUAGCUGGGGUGCGUUGUCCAAUUGGGUCUCGGCAGAAGCCGUUUUGGCUUCUGGACGUCUCUGGCAUCACUGUAAUUUCUGGGCGGGUCUGAGAUUCUCGCCUUAUGCUCGCGGGUGGCGUCUUGCUGCCCUGUGGUUGGCUGCGCUGGUCUCCUUCCCCACAGGGACGUUGUCUGUCCCUUUUCUCUGUUCUUUGCUCCUUCUCCAGGUGCGUGUGAGCGAGCGAUUGAGUUUUUCCUUAGGGCUCUCCUAGAAAUUGCUGCAGCUUAGCCCACACUUCCCUGGGGGGACCGAGGCCUUGCAGCAGCCUGAGCACAGAGAAUUUGAUAGGGACGGCGGAGUCCGGGCUUGGCCCUUUUUUUAUGGCAUUCAAGCGACACAAGAGUAGGAUGGGCGGCGGCACCCUGUAGUCAGGGCCUGGGUCUGCGCCCGUGUGCUUGUGUGUCUGCCGGAGACUAGUGCUCGUGACAACCCCGUCGUUGGGGUCUGUGUCACGAGGUGCGGAGCCCUCUGUCCCCGCGAGCAGGGCCGGCCUGUAAGCAGGCGCCGGAGCCAGUUGCUCUAGUCAGCCAGCAGGAACGAACAGCCCCCUCGCGGCCCUCUAGAGGGUGCGGGCUGGGGUGCUGCUGUUGUGGUCGGGGAUCUGCUUGGAGUCGGUAUUGCGUGGGCUUAGUCUGCCCGUAGGGCUCCUGAAGCGGUGGAGUUGUGGCACAGCCAGGCGGGCCGGGCCGGUCCGUGGGUGGGAGCCUCGUGCUCCACACAGUGUUGUGGCGCUGCUGGUGCAUGGGGUACCGCCCUGUAAGCAGGGUCAAGCGUAGCCCCGUGUCUCUCGCUGCAAGGAGCCCCCAGUAGCCAGGUGGGUCUCCGUGUCCCCCGCUUUACAUGGGCCUGGGGCCUCUAGAAGCAGGGCCGGGUUUUCACCCUCCCUGUAAGCAGGGCUUGGGGCCCGAGCCUCGGUAUUUAGCCAUCUCGCUCCGCUGGCGGGGGAAAGGUUGAGCUCUGCGGUUCCAUGGGUGGUGCGGACCCGCCUUAAGCAGGCUUUGGUCCGGAGCCUUUUGCUCCGCUGGCAGCUGUGGGGUGCCUGACCCGUUAGUGGGAUGCAGGCUUGUGGAUUCCCCACUUUGGGGAGAAGGAGCCUCCCGCGGCCUCUGGGCCCAGGGCAGCCCUGUAACUCAGGGUGCUGAUGCUCUGGUUCCCUGGGCACUUGAAAUUGUCAAUGGCUCCUCGGAGCCCCCCUGUAAGCCAGGGGUCCAGGCUCUUGGGCCGUUGCUGUGUGUGCCCAGCUUUCAUUUGCCCUUGGUGCCAGCCUUGGAGCCCUGCCGCAGCGCCGCAUGAAGGUCCUCUGCGUGUACAACACGCAGCCAGCGCAGAAGAAGGAGGAGGCGUCGUGUGGAACGGCGAGGCAAGAGCGAGCGGGAAGAGGGAGCGGCAGAUGGAAGACGGGCAAAGAGGAGGACACCCUGGGCAAAGGCUUCGCCCUGUUAGCGGGGCUGUAGGUAGAGGAGAGCAGUGCUGGCACGUGAGGUGCCUGGAUUGUUUUGUGCUGGGCGACCUCCCUGUAAGCAGGGCUCGGGUCUUUGCGAUUGUAAUCGGCCUUUUGCCUUGUUGCUCCUUUGGCUGCCUGGGGGGAGCGGCCCCCUGUAAUCAGGGGCACAGCUGCUCUCUCCGCACCCGGGAGGACUGUGGAGCUUGCCGGACCCCAGGGCCUCCCUGUAGUCAGGGCAGAGCCAAUUCCCCACCCCCUUAAUUUUAGCCGUCUGGCUCUUUGUCUAAACUAUUUGUCUAAACGUGAUGGGCUAUGGAAACUUAGUAUAUGACUGAUGCCUAUGAUAUGCCAACUAUUGCAUAAAAAGCAAUAUAAAAGCGAUAUAUAUAUAAUAUGACCUCUAUGAAUACUGUGAAAACAGAUUCUCUAAAGGAGAUGAAUGAUAAAUUACGAUGCAUGCUGUGUUUCAGCACCCCGUAGCUGGGGUGCGUUGUCCAAUUGGGUCUCGGCAGAAGCCGUUUUGGCUUCUGGACGUCUCUGGCAUCACUGUAAUUUCUGGGCGGGUCUGAGAUUCUCGCCUUAUGCUCGCGGGUGGCGUCUUGCUGCCCUGUGGUUGGCUGCGCUGGUCUCCUUCCCCACAGGGACGUUGUCUGUCCCUUUUCUCUGUUCUUUGCUCCUUCUCCAGGUGCGUGUGAGCGAGCGAUUGAGUUUUUCCUUAGGGCUCUCCUAGAAAUUGCUGCAGCUUAGCCCACACUUCCCUGGGGGGACCGAGGCCUUGCAGCAGCCUGAGCACAGAGAAUUUGAUAGGGACGGCGGAGUCCGGGCUUGGCCCUUUUUUUAUGGCAUUCAAGCGACACAAGAGUAGGAUGGGCGGCGGCACCCUGUAGUCAGGGCCUGGGUCUGCGCCCGUGUGCUUGUGUGUCUGCCGGAGACUAGUGCUCGUGACAACCCCGUCGUUGGGGUCUGUGUCACGAGGUGCGGAGCCCUCUGUCCCCGCGAGCAGGGCCGGCCUGUAAGCAGGCGCCGGAGCCAGUUGCUCUAGUCAGCCAGCAGGAACGAACAGCCCCCUCGCGGCCCUCUAGAGGGUGCGGGCUGGGGUGCUGCUGUUGUGGUCGGGGAUCUGCUUGGAGUCGGUAUUGCGUGGGCUUAGUCUGCCCGUAGGGCUCCUGAAGCGGUGGAGUUGUGGCACAGCCAGGCGGGCCGGGCCGGUCCGUGGGUGGGAGCCUCGUGCUCCACACAGUGUUGUGGCGCUGCUGGUGCAUGGGGUACCGCCCUGUAAGCAGGGUCAAGCGUAGCCCCGUGUCUCUCGCUGCAAGGAGCCCCCAGUAGCCAGGUGGGUCUCCGUGUCCCCCGCUUUACAUGGGCCUGGGGCCUCUAGAAGCAGGGCCGGGUUUUCACCCUCCCUGUAAGCAGGGCUUGGGGCCCGAGCCUCGGUAUUUAGCCAUCUCGCUCCGCUGGCGGGGGAAAGGUUGAGCUCUGCGGUUCCAUGGGUGGUGCGGACCCGCCUUAAGCAGGCUUUGGUCCGGAGCCUUUUGCUCCGCUGGCAGCUGUGGGGUGCCUGACCCGUUAGUGGGAUGCAGGCUUGUGGAUUCCCCACUUUGGGGAGAAGGAGCCUCCCGCAGCCUCUGGGCCCAGGGCAGCCCUGUAACUCAGGGUGCUGAUGCUCUGGUUCCCUGGGCACUUGAAAUUGUCAAUGGCUCCUCGGAGCCCCCCUGUAAGGCAGGGGUCCAGGCUCUUGGGCCGUUGCUGUGUGUGCCCAGCUUUCAUUUGCCCUUGGUGCCAGCCUUGGAGCCCUGCCGCAGCGCCGCAUGAAGGUCCUCUGCGUGUACAACACGCAGCCAGCGCAGAAGAAGGAGGAGGCGUCGUGUGGAACGGCGAGGCAAGAGGGAGCGGCAGAUGGAAGACGGGCAAAGAGGAGGACACCCUGGGCAAAGGCUUCGCCCUGUUAGCGGGGCUGUAGGUAGAGGAGAGCAGUGCUGGCACGUGAGGUGCCUGGAUUGUUUUGUGCUGGGCGACCUCCCUGUAAGCAGGGCUCGGGUCUUUGCGAUUGUAAUCGGCCUUUUGCCUUGUUGCUCCUUUGGCUGCCUGGGGGGAGCGGCCCCCUGUAAUCAGGGGCACAGCUGCUCUCUCCGCACCCGGGAGGACUGUGGAGCUUGCCGGACCCCAGGGCCUCCCUGUAGUCAGGGCAGAGCCAAUUCCCCACCCCCUUAAUUUUAGCCGUCUGGCUCUUGGUCUAAACUAUUUGUCUAAACGUGAUGGGCUAUGGAAACUUAGUAUAUGACUGAUGCCUACGCUAUAAUGCCAACUAUUGCAUAAAAAGCAAUAUAAAAGCUAUAUAAAUAUAAUAUGACCUCUAUGAAUACUGUGAAAACAGAUUCUCUAAAGGAGAUGAAUGAUAAAUUACGAUGCAUGCUGUGUUUCAGCACCCCGUAGCUGGGGUGCGUUGUCCAAUUGGGUCUCGGCAGAAGCCGUUUUGGCUUCUGGACGUCUCUGGCAUCACUGUAAUUGAUGGUGCGUGGGGUACCGCCCUGUAAGCAGGGUCAAGCGUAGCCCCGUGUCUCUCGCUGCAAGGAGCCCCCUGUAGCCAGGUGGGUCUCCGUGUCCCCUGCUUUACAUGGGCUUGGGGCCACUAGAAGUAGGGCCGGGUUUUCACCCUCCCUGUAAGCAGGGCUUGGGGCCCGAGCCUCGGCAUUCGGCCGUCUGGCUCCACUGGCGGGGGAAAGGUUGAGCUCUGCGGUUCCAUGGGUGUUGCGGACCCGCCUUAAGCAGGCUUUGGUCCGGAGCCUUUUGCUCCGCUGGCAGCUGUGGGGUGCCUGACCCGUUAGCGGGAUGCAGGCUUGUGGAUUCCCCACUUUGGGGAGAAGGAGCCUCCCGCGGCCUCUGGGCCCAGGGCAGCCCUGUAACUCAGGGUGCUGAUGCUCUGGUUCCCUGGGCACUUGAAAUUGUCAAUGGCUCCUCGGAGCCCCCCUGUAAGGCAGGGGUCCAGGCUCUUGGGCCGUUGCUGUGUGUGCCCAGCUUUCAUUUGCCCUUGGUGCCAGCCUUGGAGCCCUGCCGCAGCGCCGCAUGAAGGUCCUCUGCGUGUACAACACGCAGCCAGCGCAGAAGAAGGAGGAGGCGUCGUGUGGAACGGCGAGGCAAGAGCGAGCGGGAAGAGGGAGCGGCAGAUGGAAGACGGGCAAAGAGGAGGACACCCUGGGCAAAGGCUUCGCCCUGUUAGCGGGGCUGUAGGUAGAGGAGAGCAGUGCUGGCACGUGAGGUGCCUGGAUUGUUUUGUGCUGGGCGACCUCCCUGUAAGCAGGGCUCGGGUCUUUGCGAUUGUAAUCGGCCUUUUGCCUUGUUGCUCCUUUGGCUGCCUGGGGGGAGCGGCCCCCUGUAAUCAGGGGCACAGCUGCUCUCUCCGCACCCGGGAGGACUGUGGAGCUUGCCGGACCCCAGGGCCUCCCUGUAGUCAGGGCAGAGCCAAUUCCCCACCCCCUUAAUUUUAGCCGUCUGGCUCUUUGUCUAAACUAUUUGUCUAAACGUGAUGGGCUAUGGAAACUUAGUAUAUGACUGAUGCCUAUGAUAUGCCAACUAUUGCAUAAAAAGCAAUAUAAAAGCGAUAUAUAUAUAAUAUGACCUCUAUGAAUACUGUGAAAACAGAUUCUCUAAAGGAGAUGAAUGAUAAAUUACGAUGCAUGCUGUGUUUCAGCACCCCGUAGCUGGGGUGCGUUGUCCAAUUGGGUCUCGGCAGAAGCCGUUUUGGCUUCUGGACGUCUCUGGCAUCACUGUAAUUUCUGGGCGGGUCUGAGAUUCUCGCCUUAUGCUCGCGGGUGGCGUCUUGCUGCCCUGUGGUUGGCUGCGCUGGUCUCCUUCCCCACAGGGACGUUGUCUGUCCCUUUUCUCUGUUCUUUGCUCCUUCUCCAGGUGCGUGUGAGCGAGCGAUUGAGUUUUUCCUUAGGGCUCUCCUAGAAAUUGCUGCAGCUUAGCCCACACUUCCCUGGGGGGACCGAGGCCUUGCAGCAGCCUGAGCACAGAGAAUUUGAUAGGGACGGCGGAGUCCGGGCUUGGCCCUUUUUUUAUGGCAUUCAAGCGACACAAGAGUAGGAUGGGCGGCGGCACCCUGUAGUCAGGGCCUGGGUCUGCGCCCGUGUGCUUGUGUGUCUGCCGGAGACUAGUGCUCGUGACAACCCCGUCGUUGGGGUCUGUGUCACGAGGUGCGGAGCCCUCUGUCCCCGCGAGCAGGGCCGGCCUGUAAGCAGGCGCCGGAGCCAGUUGCUCUAGUCAGCCAGCAGGAACGAACAGCCCCCUCGCGGCCCUCUAGAGGGUGCGGGCUGGGGUGCUGCUGUUGUGGUCGGGGAUCUGCUUGGAGUCGGUAUUGCGUGGGCUUAGUCUGCCCGUAGGGCUCCUGAAGCGGUGGAGUUGUGGCACAGCCAGGCGGGCCGGGCCGGUCCGUGGGUGGGAGCCUCGUGCUCCACACAGUGUUGUGGCGCUGCUGGUGCAUGGGGUACCGCCCUGUAAGCAGGGUCAAGCGUAGCCCCGUGUCUCUCGCUGCAAGGAGCCCCCAGUAGCCAGGUGGGUCUCCGUGUCCCCCGCUUUACAUGGGCCUGGGGCCUCUAGAAGCAGGGCCGGGUUUUCACCCUCCCUGUAAGCAGGGCUUGGGGCCCGAGCCUCGGUAUUUAGCCAUCUCGCUCCGCUGGCGGGGGAAAGGUUGAGCUCUGCGGUUCCAUGGGUGGUGCGGACCCGCCUUAAGCAGGCUUUGGUCCGGAGCCUUUUGCUCCGCUGGCAGCUGUGGGGUGCCUGACCCGUUAGUGGGAUGCAGGCUUGUGGAUUCCCCACUUUGGGGAGAAGGAGCCUCCCGCGGCCUCUGGGCCCAGGGCAGCCCUGUAACUCAGGGUGCUGAUGCUCUGGUUCCCUGGGCACUUGAAAUUGUCAAUGGCUCCUCGGAGCCCCCCUGUAAGGCAGGGGUCCAGGCUCUUGGGCCGUUGCUGUGUGUGCCCAGCUUUCAUUUGCCCUUGGUGCCAGCCUUGGAGCCCUGCCGCAGCGCCGCAUGAAGGUCCUCUGCGUGUACAACACGGUAAGAAAAGCUGCUUUCGGUUGGCCUUGUCCUCUUCUCCCUUUGCCGUAACCUCUGAGGUUGUCUUUGUUAGGGUGGUUGUUAUGAGGAGCUGCCUUGGGUUUCCUUUUACCUUUAGUUACCAGAUUGAGAACUGUGUUGUAAGCUCUAACUGUUUUGCCUUUGCUUUGCAACAGCGUAUGCAGAAGAAAGAAAUAACAGAAUUCUAGGGCUUGGGAGCGACCUCGAGAGGCCAUCGCAUUCAAUACCGUUGGCAAAAAAGGUUCCCUUGAUGAAAUGGCAUAGGGAGGCAUUUAUAGAAGUCAAAAAUAACUGCAGAGAAGGUAGCUGAGCAGCCUGGUGCAGUAUUCCAUCACCUUCCACCAUAGUGGUACAGAACUUCCUGUGCUGCAUUCUGUGGCCAUUGCCCCUUGUCCUGUCCUCACAGACAGGUGAAAUAUUCUUGGCCAUUUUCUUCUUCCU